rnacentral:rRNA from 1 species
CCUACGGGAGGCAGCAGUGAGGAAUAUUUGUCAAUGGACGAGAGUCUGAACCAGCCAAGUAGCGUGAAGGAUGACUGCCCUAUGGGUUGUAAACUUCUUUUAUAUGGGAAUAAAAUGUUCCACGUGUGGGAUUUUGUAUGUACCAUAUGAAUAAGGAUCGGCUAACUCCGUGCCAGCAGCCGCGGUAAUACGGAGGAUCCGAGCGUUAUCCGGAUUUAUUGGGUUUAAGGCGAGAGUAGGUGGAUUGUUAAGUCAGUUGUGAAAGUUUGCGGCUCAACCGUAAAAUUGCAGUUGAAACUGGCAGUCUUGAGUACAGUAGAGGUGAGCGGAAUUCGUGGUGUAGCGGUGAAAUGCGUAGAUAUCACGAAGAACUCCGAUGGCGAAGGCAGUUCACUGGACUGUAACUGACACUGAGGCUCGAAAGUGUGGGUAUCAAACAGGAUUAGAUACCCCAGUAGUC